UCUUCUUACUGGAGGAAUGCUACUUCUUACUGGAGGAAUGCUACUUCUUACUGGAGAAAUGCUACUUCUUACUGGAGAAAUGCUACUUCUUACUGGAGAAAUGCUACUUCUUACUGGAGAAAUGCUACUUCUUACUGGAGAAAUGCUACUUCUUACUGGAGAAAUGCUACUUCUUACUGGAGAAAUGCUACUUCUUACUGGAGACGUACUUCUAUUUACUAGAGGAAUACUAAGUAACAAUCUAACAAUAGUACAUUCUAUUACAUCAAAAAGGAUAUUGAAGUUGUCCUAACAGUUACACUGAUCUCGAAUGGCCCAAUUAGAUGGUGUGGUCAUGAACCUGCCAACAUACCCUCCAAACUCAAUAGUAGAGUCAUAAGAACUCCUCUUAGAGAGGCGUCAGUCCGUCAGUAUUAGACGCUCUUGCCCUGACAAUCCAGCGCCUCAAUAAAAAUCCGAUAUAAAAAGAAGCUAAAUAAGGCUGAGUGUGUCCAGACAUUGAUCUAGCUGCCACCAAGACAUACAAGCCUCCCGUCAAUCUGUCGGAUACACAUUAAGAGAACCUAAACAUUAUUCUUGUACCCAGACAUCAAAGAGUUUUAUCUAAACAUGGAAACUAUCAUGAAGGGGCAGUUUUGUACAUGUAACUAUUAGACUUUACCAAUCACUGUUCAAGUAUGAGAUAGAGCUAGACUUCUGUUGCUAGAGAACACUGAGUUGUUACGAACGAAAGUAAAAACCUUGAGACAAUUAAAAGAGACAUACAACAUGAUUCCAAGUCAUUCUAUAAAGCAGGAACACGACAUUUGAUUUCAUGCCAAUAUGUACAGCAGAAAUACGACAUUUGAUUUCAUGUCAAUAUGUACAGCAGCCACACGACAUUUGAUUACGGCACAUAGUAUACAGAUCGAGAAAAGGCAUUUGAUAAUUACAUUCAAUAUUUACAACACUAAAUGAUCAUCUUUAUGAACAGCAAGCCAUGCAAACUUGUCGCUGGUUAUGUCUAACUUCUGAAUCUCGUCUGGAGUUUACUUUCAAUAAAGUCUUAGGAAGAUUUAAAGAACUGAACCCAUGGAUACUUCAAGAUCAAAACUUGCAGGAUGUUUCUGGAUCGAUACAGGGAUACGACAGAAUGCUACAAGUACAGCCCGAUGGUAUUAAACAAAGCGGUGCCAGCCAUUAUAAUGGAUAGAAAGACAUGAUCUGAGUUUUCUAAUUGAUAUUCUCAAUCUACGGUAAUGACGUUCACAACUGGACUGGAUCUUGACCAUCUAG